AUCUUCUGUAGAUCAUAAAUGUUAUGAUUAAAUGUCCACACCAUUGUGUGAGAUGUGUCUCCCUCAAGUCUUAUUACAGUUAGCACACUACCUGUUUGAUG